rnacentral:rRNA from 1 species
CCUGGCUCAGAUUGAACGCUGGCGGCAGGCCUAACACAUGCAAGUCGAGCGGUAGAGAGAAGCUUGCUUCUCUUGAGAGCGGCGGACGGGUGAGUAAUGCCUAGGAAUCUGCCUGGUAGUGGGGGAUAACGUUCGGAAACGGACGCUAAUACCGCAUACGUCCUACGGGAGAAAGCAGGGGACCUUCGGGCCUUGCGCUAUCAGAUGAGCCUAGGUCGGAUUAGCUAGUUGGUGGGGUAAUGGCUCACCAAGGCGACGAUCCGUAACUGGUCUGAGAGGAUGAUCAGUCACACUGGAACUGAGACACGGUCCAGACUCCUACGGGAGGCAGCAGUGGGGAAUAUUGGACAAUGGGCGAAAGCCUGAUCCAGCCAUGCCGCGUGUGUGAAGAAGGUCUUCGGAUUGUAAAGCACUUUAAGUUGGGAGGAAGGGUUGUAGAUUAAUACUCUGCAAUUUUGACGUUACCGACAGAAUAAGCACCGGCUAACUCUGUGCCAGCAGCC